UACAGAGGGGGCAAGCGUUGUUCGGAAUUACUGGGCGUAAAGGGCGCGUAGGCGGCCUUCUAAGUCGAACGUGAAAUCCCCGGGCUCAACCCGGGAACUGCGUCCGAUACUGGAAGGCUUGAAUCCGGGAGAGGGAUGCGGAAUUCCAGGUGUAGCGGUGAAAUGCGUAGAUAUGACAUAGAACACCAAUUGCGAAGGCAGCUUACUACACGAUCAUUGACACUGAGGCACGAAAGCGUGGGGAGCAAACAGG
rnacentral:rRNA from 1 species